rnacentral:lncRNA from 1 species
CUUUGGUAAUAUAAAUAAUACUGCAGUGAUUAUCUCUACAUCUUUUUUUAUAUUUUGUCAUUAUAUAUUUGGGCAAUUUUUACAGUUGGAUUUGCCGUUUCCUGAUAACGGGAACACAAGAACCUGCAGGCUCAUGGGUGAUGUCAGAUUCCACCUGGGGCAUGUGUGAGGCAAUAGUGGAAUAGCUCUGAACUGUGUACGUGGAGUCAUCAAAUAUUGAAUAGUCGCUUAGCGAAAAGAAUAUAUGCACCAUUAAUGGGAAAGGAUGAGAAAGAAAAGAAAAAAGGACCAAAGUCUUGAGUUACGACCCAAUUGCUGGCCACUUGUGCUUCUGAGAUGGCCUAAGAUACAGAUUUAACCCUUGAAGAGUUCUGGAAGGAACAUUAUAACAUCCUUUCCUGUGUGGGGUUAAUUGAGAAAUCCUGAGCCAGUCUCUCAAAGGACACAGAUCUGCUUGG